rnacentral:misc_RNA from 1 species
GGGAAAAGAAAAACGAGUUUGUUUUACAAGCUAACAUGACUCACAAUUUAAGAAAGAUAAGGUAGAAAGAGUAGGAACCAGUUUCUGGAGUUUGGAUAUACUAAGAUGACCCAAACGACUAUGAAGAAUAUCAAGAGAAGUAAUGAAAGGAAAAGCAAUCGAAGAUUUUCUAUAAUAUAGUUAUUUUGAUUCAUGUCCUAUGCCAAUCACCUUCCCCAUAACUCGGUCCUGUAUAAUAAUAGAAUCAGUUAUCAAUAUGACAAAAUAAUUAAGGUGUUUGGUUAAUUUGCUAAUGGAGAUUAAAUUUUAUGGACACUUACAAGCAAAUAUUACUGAAGUUAAAGAAACAGAGGAAACAGAGGGGAGAGAACAUGCCUCCCCUACUCCUUUAAUCACAAUUUUUGAACUAUUGGCUAAAGUAUCAUUAGUUAAUUAGGAAAAGAUUUCUAUUACAAGAGAUCCAUGGUGAUAGUCAAGGAUCUAUUAGAAGCCCCAAAAUCAAGGAUCCAUAGUCCAGUGGAUAAGGAUCAUUUUAGACAAUCAAAGAUAUUAACAAAUUAGGAAAAUGAGAAUAGUUGCUGGUUGGAAACUGAUACUAUAAGUAUUGUUCAUAUUUGACUCUAGUCAAGGUGAUAGAAUUAGUUAAUUAAUGAGCAGGAUGACAUAUGAUUGUAUUUAUGGAGAUUGCUUUGUCAAUCACCUUGUAUUUAUGGAGAUUGUUUUGUCAAUCACCUUUUGUUUUAAUCAGGUAGGAAUAAUAUCUUGAAUUUAUAAGCGCAAGAAGUAUAAAAGCAGUAGCAAUAGAGUUGGUUAAGCCCCAGUCCACAUAAGGAGAAGCAUGCCUUAAAAAAAAUGAAAAGAAAAGAAUGGUGGAGGGAGACUAAAUUACCUCAAGAAAGACUUUGAAACGGCUGGGGUUUCACGAUGCCUAGAGAAAGGAAGGAGGGCCAAAAGCUAAAAAUCUUAGAAAAUAUACUAAAAUAGACUUUUGUAAGAUGAGAGAAGACAAAUCUGCAAUAAUCCAAUAAACCAAAAUACUUUUGUUCUCUGAGACACCUAAAAUACCAAGGGAUUUAGUUGAAGGUCUGCAGCUGGAAGGAGUUGCACAAUCAAAGUGAGGUGACUAGUGUUGAUUGCAGUGGAAAAAGAAUGGUUGACGACCUCUCAUUCGCAUGCAUGUGUAUAAGAGUCCAGAACCUUGUGAUGGUGCAUUUAGUGAGGGGCUUUCCAAAGGCAAGAUUCUAAGGCAGAGCCGAUUAGUGGCAGGUGGCGUAAUUGGGGUAGGUGGUGAGGGCUAACAACUCUCAAACGCCCUUUGAUUAAAAAAUGUGACUCAUUUCUUAAAAAAUAAAAUAAGGGAAGGGGAAAAAUGGAGGAUAGAAGACCAGAACCUACAAAUCUCCUAACUUUUAGAUAAUGAAAUGAUAGAAGUAAUAGAAAGAGAAUGUGGGGAAGAAUUGCCUGAUUAUUCGUUCAAGCCUUUGGGUAUAUGUACUGUUACAUAAAAUAAGAAUGGUAUGUCACAUAUUUACAGAACAUAGCCACAUUUUCAGGCAUAAACAUAGCUCAUACUCACAGCAAUUCACUCAAUCACAG